rnacentral:rRNA from 1 species
UAUGUGAUCGUCUCUCGCAUAUCAAUAAGCGGAGGAAAAGAAACUAACAAGGAUUCCCCUAGUAACGGCGAGUGAAGCGGGAAGAGCUCAAAUUUGAAAUCUUAAAGGGUUUCCCUUUACGAAUUGUAGUUUAAAGAAGUGUUUUCUGUUGAGGUUUUGGUAAAAGUUCUUUGGAAUAGGACAUCAUAGAGGGUGAGAAUCCCGUAUUUGACCUUUACUUUCAACUUUGUGAUACACUUUCAAAGAGUCGGAUUGUUUGGGAAUGCAGUCCAAAAUGGGUGGUAAAUUUCAUCUAAAGCUAAAUAUUGGCGAGAGACCGAUAGCGAACAAGUACCGUGAGGGAAAGAUGAAAAGAACUUUGAAAAGAGAGUUAAACAGUACGUGAGAUUGUCAAAAGGGAAGCGUUUGACACCAGUGUUGUUUUUCUGAAAAUCAAUUAAAGAACUGUUUAUGCUAAGUUGUUUAGACUUUAUCAGCUAACUGUUUAGUUUUGAGCUUUUCUUUAAUGCACUUUUCAGUUAACAAGUCAACAUCAAUUUCUUUUGCUGUAAAAAAGCUUGAGGAAGGUGGCUUGAGAUUCGUCUUAAGUGUUUAUAACCUCUUGCCUAUGCAGUCGGAGAGAUUGAGGUCUGCAGCGUAGAUCCUUCGGGGCUAAAUGCAUUUGUGCUAAGUUAUAGCAUUUUAUAGACAACUUGUUGACUAUGAUUUGUCUUGUAGCUUACUCGCUUAUGUUAUUUUACCUACGCUUAGGAUGUUGAUCUACAGAGCGAGAGU